CAGCCUCCACCUCCCCCGGGGGCGCCGGCGCGGCCCCUGGGGAUCUCUGGGGUCCUGGGCUACGCGCGCGCGCGUGAGUUUCGGGCCUUCCCUGUUGGUUCAUAUUGUCCCCUGGAAAUCUAUGAAUGUGGAUCUUCUUGGUGAUGAAGACAUGAUGAAAAUCAUUGCUGUCAAUUGCAAAAACUCCUCUCUUCCAAUUCUUCUCCUGUCCAGAGAGCUGUGGCAAUGUGUGGUUCAGGAGAGGAACUGAGGGAGAGGCGGCAGAGUGCUUCAGCCACGAGGCGGGAUCGAUGUUCACCUUUGGAAUGUUAAGUCUGCUUUUAACUGUGACUCAAGUUCGCUCCAGCUUAUCGACUGUGAGUCACUGCUACCUGCAAUGCUGUGCUCGGGACACACUUCUGAAUGACCAACUUGCACACACGGAUGGGGAAUGCAAACAGCCCCAAAGAAGGCCGGUUGAAAAGCCAAGGGUUUGCUUUCUGACACAGCGUUUGAGUGACACUUGCCCUUACCUAGCCGGGCAAUAACCGUCAGUGCUCGCUCGUUCGUUUUCUCAGUCGGUGCAUGCAGCGGGUGGAUUUGUGGAUCCCAGAAGACAUUCUGUGUGUGUUUUUUUUUUUUUUU